UACAGAGGUCUCAAGCGUUGUUCGGAUUCAUUGGGCGUAAAGGGUGUGUAGGUGGCGCCGUAAGUCGGGUGUGAAAUUUCGGAGCUUAACUCCGAAACUGCAUUCGAUACUGCGGUGCUUGAGGACUGGAGAGGAGACUGGAAUUCAUGGUGUAGCAGUGAAAUGCGUAGAGAUCAUGGAGGAAGACCAGUGGCGAAGGCGGGUCUCUGGGCCGUAACUGACGCUGAGGAGCGAAAGCGUGGGGGAGCGAACAGG
rnacentral:rRNA from 1 species